rnacentral:rRNA from 1 species
ACGACGAGGUUGAUAGGUUCGAGGUGGAAGUGCGGUAACGUAUGCAGCUGACGAAUACUAAUCGGUCGAGGGCUUAACCAAUAA